GACGAACGUUGGCGGCGUGCUUAAUACAUGCAAGUCAACUGAAGCAGUGGUAGCAAUAUCGCUGUGGAGGUGGCGCACGGGUGAGUAACACGUAGGUAAUCUGCCUUCAGGUCUGGCAUAACUCCGGGAAACCGGGGCUAAUAGCAGAUGAUGCAGCGGCUCGACAUCGAGACGGUUGUUAAAGCUAUGGCGCCUGAAGAUGAGCCUGCGUCUGAUUAGCUAGUUGGCGGGGUAACGGCCCACCAAGGCAACGAUCAGUAGCUGGUCUGAGAGGAUGAUCAGCCACACUGGAACUGAGACACGGUCCAGACUACUACGGGAGGCAGCAGUAAGGAAUAUUGCUCAAUGGGAGAAAUCAUGAAGCAGCAACGCAGCGUGAGGGACGAAGGGCUUUUGCUUGUAAACCUCUGUAGUGAGAGAAAAAAAUCCCAAUCUUUGGGACAUGAUGGUAUCUCAAAAGUAAGCCCCGGCUAACUACGUG
rnacentral:rRNA from 1 species